rnacentral:rRNA from 1 species
GACGAACGCUGGCGGCGUGCUUAACACAUGCAAGUCGAACGGGUCUGCCCUGUUUUUUGCGGGGUGGGUCAGUGGCGAACGGGUGAGUAACACGUGAGUAACCUGCCCCUCACUUCUGGAUAACCGCUUGAAAGGGUGGCUAAUACGGGGUGUUCUGGCUGUGCCGCAUGGUGUGGCUGGGAAAGAUUCACUUUUGUGGUGUUUUGGUGGGGGAUGGGCUCGCGGCCUAUCAGCUUGUUGGUGGGGUGAUGGCCUGCCAAGGCUUUGACGGGUAGCCGGCCUGAGAGGGUGGGCGGUCACACUGGGACGGCGAUACGGCCCAGACUCCUGCGGGAGGCAGCAGUGGGGGGUAUUGCACAAUGGGCGGAAGCCUGAUGCAGCGACGUCGCGGGAGGGAUGGAGGCCUGCGGGUUGUGAACCUCUUUCGCCGGUGAAGAAGGUCCUGCUCUUUGUGGGGGGGUUGACGGUAGCCGGGUUAUGAAGCGCCGGCUAACUACGUG